GGCAAUAAUUUUUUUAGACUUUAUUGAACCAUAAAACUAAUUUUUGACUCUUCACAUUUUACAUAAUCCGCUUCGCGGAUUAUUCAAUGUGAAGAGUCAAAAAUUAGUUUUAUGGUUCAAUAAAGUCAAAAUAGAUAAUAGCCA
rnacentral:sRNA from 1 species